rnacentral:ncRNA from 1 species
AAAUAAAUUUUUUAUGGUUUAUAAAAUUUAUUUUAAAGUUUAUUUUACAUAUAAAUUUUAGUGUUGUUUUUUAAUUAUUUAAAUAAUAUUUAAUUUUAAGGUAGUAAUUAGUUUUAAAAAUUUAAGAAAUUAUGAUUUAGUAAUAUUGAAAUUAAUAACUAAUUUUGUGCCAGCAGUUGCGGUUAUACAAAGAUUAAUUUAAAUUUUUUUUUAGUGUUUAAUUAAUAUUUUAUUUAGAUAGUUUAAAAUUUGAAUUUUAAGGUGAAAUUUUAAUUUAAUAUAAAAUUAUUUUAUAUUUAUGAUUUAAUAAAUUUUAUAAAAAACUAGGAUUAGAUACCCUAUUAUUAAAAAUUUAAAUUAAUAAUACUUAAAUAGUAAAUAAUUAUUUAUUAAAACUUAAAUAAUUUGGCGGUAUUUUAGUUUAUUUAGAGGAAUCUGUUUAAUAAUUGAUAUUCCACGAAUAAAUUUACUUAAUUUAUUAUUUUGUAUAUCGUUGUUAUAAAAAUAUUUUUUAAUAAUGUUAAUAUUUAAAAAUUUUAAUUUUAAUUUAAAUCAGAUCAAGAUGCAGAUUAUAAUUAAGAAUAUAAUGGAUUACAAUAAAUUUAUUUAAAAAAAUUGGAUUUUAAUUUGAAAUAAUUAAAUGAAAUUGGAUUUAAAUGUAAUUUAAAAUAAAUUUUUAAAAUGAUUAUAAUAUUAAAAUAUGUACAUAUUGCCCGUCGCUUUCAUUAAUAAAUUGAAAUAAGUCGUAACAAAGUAGAGGUACUGGAAAGUGUUUCUAGAAAGAU